UAGGAACUAUGACCGUCCGUUGUUCCGCCUUUCCGAGCGUUCCGCUGGCGUGUUUCUACCGCUUGAAAAUUUAUCGGCUUUGUCGUUAUUUAUACUCGCUGCAAUAUCAUCUCGUUGGGGAAGCCAGGGAACCGGAAAAUUCAGAAAAUUUUCAAACAUGCACCGCCAGUGUUUCAUCUGUGUUAAGCUUGGCAUUUUUUUUUUUCCAAGCUUGCAGAGCCACUUAGUUCGUCAGCUCCGCUCAUCGUGGCAUCUCUGUAUUAUAAAUUUUCUAACAACGGAUAAAUUCUGUACGAAACGGUUCCCGAAGGGAACGAUUCCACCUCACAGACGAAUGUUUACGAAUAUCACCACGUUCGCGUGGUAGGGGACGAGAGAACAAUAACGCACAAACGCGUGUUUGUCCGUGGCAUUAGGUAGCCUCAAAAGAAAACGAGACUCUUGUGUACACUUCUGUUCGUACUCGUGGAAUCUCUUUCAAAACCGCUCUGAAAAUCCUCGGUAUUCCGUGAGAGCGUCAGCGGCAGCCCGGAGUGAAUUAUAGUGACGUGGGAGAGAAAACGAGAGGGUGCUGGGAUACGUGACUGUGGUAGAGUUAAUGAACGAAUCGACUCGGUUCGUGGCAGAACUUCCAACAACGGAAACCUUCCCUCAAACCCUCUGAGGGCGGUUGCUUCGAACGCGACUCGACGCUCAGGACGCGGGAAGAAUGAAGAACGAGCUCGGUCUCUAUGCAAAUUGGAAUUUUAUCAGAAUUGGGAGUAGCGUAGAUCAAGAGUAACUAGUAACUAGCAGAUGUUGUUUGGACUAUAUCUAUCUCAGAGACUUUCGAGAAUAUGUAAAAUAUUAUUGAUUAUUAAAAAAAAGGGAAGUUAAGAAACUACAAUUUCACACAAAAGUUUUUUGGAGAAAUUGAUCGGUG